AUCCCCAAUGAACACCUGCCGGGACCACCCAAGCACACACAUGCAGGAAUACAUCCAAACGUACUACUCGUAGAUUUGACAAUAAAUCACGAAGAAGACCAUCACAACUAAGCUGCAGUAAUGUCAGUUGUUUUUUGCAGAAGAUAAAGACAAUAUGCCAAGGAGUCCUGUUACAUGAUCUGUCCAUAUUUGUUGUGUACGGUUUGUAUUUAAAUUGCAGUUGUUUAAAGGUUUAAAACUACCUCAACAUUGAUGCUAUUUUGUUAGCUCAUCGAUGAUGUUUCACAUUAUGUGUAACAAUUUAUGCUUACACGGAAUGCUAAGACAAAGUUAAGUGGUUUGGCUAAACACAUGACCUAUCUUUUUUUUUUGCUUGCAACACAAUGCAAAAAAAUUUACCAAGUGAUGGUUCAAAACUCAAACAACUUGAAAGCUGGGGUAAGUCAAGGUACCACUGUACUUAGAUGCUAAUAUUGCGCAUCAUAAGGAUUGCAACAUUUUGCAAGUUGUUUGUUGGGGAUGUUUUGUUUACCUCAGUGUUGUUGUUGCACGAGUGAAGAAUCUCCUGGAAUGGACACACACGAACACACACACACGCACACACACACACACACCCACACGCACACGCGCACACACACACACACAAAUGAAUAUAUGUGAGGACACAACACAAAAAGGCAUUGAUUCUGGACACUUCAAGAAUUAGUAAAAGUACUAUUACUCUAUUAGAAAGAGUAGUGAUCAAUCUAUAGGCCAAAAGCUAACAAUAUGGACUUUUGAGCAUUGUAUGUGUCUCAUUGUUAAAUUCUUAAAUUCAGUCAAAGAAUUGAGAAGAAGUAGAAGAGCGCCACCUGCAGUCUGUGUGUCCUCUCAGCAUCCGUCUUCAGGUCCAGAAGAUCGUCGAUGUUCACCUCCUCGGGCAUGUCCUCCUCCUGAUCAUCAUCAUCAUCAUCAUCAACAACACCAAAGGUCAGUCUAUCAUAAUUUCCUCACAACAGCCGAACGUGCUAAAAGUGCCAAAUAUACUAUUGCACUUCCUCAGGGAGCCCACAGGGGGAGACAGACUCAACAGAAGGGAGAUGAAAGAAGGUCGCAGGUACGUUUAAUUAUUUCAUUGACUCAGGCGUGCAGAUGGAAGCGUGUUUACCUUUCUCACACUCGCGCACACACAGAGGUGCAGUGUGGGUUUAUUUGCCAUUCCUUUGCUACAUGACUUUCCUGUGACAUUCUCCGUCUGUUCUUUCCAUAUAAGGUCAGUAGCCAAGGACACGUGUGUGACAGAUGAGUGUGUGCUGGGUACAUGUUCGUGCGUGUCAAAACAGGGUAUAUAUGUUGAUUACUCAUAAGUGAGGGUCUCACCAACUGUGAUAUUAUUAUUGCAACAAACACGGCUUGUGAUCACAAAACUUUCUCACCAAAAUCAUCAGAGGUGUGUGUUUGGAUGCUAGUACUAGGCUCCGCCCCCCUGUUGUUUAUCUGCUGCAGUCUUCAGUGUGAUGUCAUCACGUCCAACUGAUGAAGUGUGCGCAUGUUCAGAUUAGCAUUCAGAGACUGAUUUGUGGUGUCAGCAAGUGUUGUUUUACACACACACACACACACACACACACACACACACACACACACACACACACGCACACUCACACUAAGCUGUGUGUUGGUCCAUAAUAGAAGCUCCAUUUGACCUCGUUAGGUUAAUGCUGACUUCUUUGUGUGCAUCUGUGUGAGUUGUGUAUACGAGUGUGUAUGGUGUGGGGGAAGGUACAAACUAGGAAACACACCACGCUGCAACAAAAGACAAAAACACACGCCCGCAUUCAUCGUGUACACGUUUUAACAUCACAAGUAGUAGUAGAAGUACCUUAGUAAUAUUAGUAGUGGUGUACCAUUACUAGUGAUAACAGUAGCAGUUGCAGUAAGAGGUGGAGUAACAAUAGAAGCGCCCGCUGGAGUCGGACAAGUACCAGUGAUAGUAUAGUCAUAGGAGUCGGUAGUGGUGUAAAUAGUAGUCUAGUAGUAGUAGUAGUAGUACAGUAAUACUAAAAACAGCAGUUGUAUUCGCAGUAGUAGCGUAUCUGCGUGUGUGAAUGUGCAUAUGGGGAAAUGAAUGGGGGCCAUCAAGAAGGGUCCAUAUAUCACAACUGACGGACACACGAUCGCCCCCACGCCCCCCCCCACACACACAACACAGACAGAUGUCAAGCUAAUAAAUCAAUAGCACUAAUAGCUGUUAGCAUCUGUCUUUUUCUUUGUCUGCUUCCAGUUGGUCUUUAUUUGCGUGUGAGAGGCUUCCCCAAUUGGCUGCCCCGUUGUUUCAUUGGUUGAUGACUAGUUGAACAAAAACUCUCAUCGCCAUUAUGACAUCACCAAUGGAACAUCAUCACCUUAGCGGCGAUUGUUCGUGUGUCAUCACCAGUGUGUGUACGUUUAUUGUACGCACUGAUGGAUUAGUGCAAGCAUGUGCGUGUGUGUCUGUGUGCAUUUGGGUGUAUGUAUUAAUAUGUGUGAGGAUUGUGUAUAUUUAUCUGUAAGUGUCUAUUUGUCUGUAGUGAUGUGUACCUCUGGAGACUAAAAAAAAUGUGUGUGUGUGUGUGCUGCCAUAGCUGGAGCUUGAUACACACAGCAGUAGACGAAGCAUCUGGAGUUUGUGUACAAAUUGUCACAACAUUCUCAGCUGUAUGUGCAUGUUAUGUGCCCAGAUGGAAUGUUUGACAGGAAAUGAAGCAAUCAGGGCAGAUGUAAUUAUCUAUUUAUCACUGGACACAUGAACACACACACACACAUUCACACUAACAGACAGUACACACGCACGCACACGCAUGCUUUAACUGGGUAACAUCAGGGGACAAAUAAUUGUCUUCCUCUGGCUCCUUACCUUCAUCUAUUAUGCAUCACAGAGUGUGUGGGUGUGUGUGUGUGUUUGUGUGUCUAAGAUGAACAAAGACAACCAUUUGGACACUCAAAUUAUCAAUCUAAAAGCCCGGUGUGACUUUUUCUUGUUUCUGUCACGUUUAUAACCUCGCCCACAUUUGAUCAAAGAUGGACCGCAUAAAAAAAAAAAGGAAUGAAGGGAAAGGAAAACGGUUGAUGUGAUUCGAGUACAUUUCAAAUGAAUACGGGCCUCAAAAUGAACUUUCGAGAAGUAGUAUUACUACUCGUAGCAGUAAUAUUACUAAUAUGUAGAAGUGGAGAUUGUAGUUGUAAUAGAAAUUCAAGUGUGUUACAAUAUUAUUUUCGUGUUUUUAAUACUGUAGUAGUCGUAGUCGCGGGCAGAUGGCUGCAUUAUUAAAAGUAAGACUGCAGUCGUAACAAUGUUCUUCCGAUGAGCAGUCGCGGUUGUAGUCGAAGUCUUGGUAGUGAAGCAGUAGUUGUCGUAGUAAUCGUGUGUUGAAGAAGCAGUAGCGGUGCCGUUUGUAUAUCAUGGCAUGACUAAAAACUGCGGUGAGAGUAGUAGUACAAGUGGUGCGUAGUUGUGCUCGCAGUCAUGUAGUUGGUGUAAUAGCUGUAGGGAUACUUGUACUUGGAGUAUAUACGUCAUUCGGAUACGACGCAACAAUAAAAAGUCUCGAGCCGACCACGGCGGGUGGCAACCUAACGGCAACUGACCAAAAUGUCCUCGGUGUGAUGUCAGAAAGUACUACUUGGAUGUCUGCACAGCUACACACGCACACGCACACCCACACACCGCCUGCAGCUGUGUCUGCGCUGUCAGCUCCACUUUGUGUCCACCCUGAACACGGCAAACACUCUUCCAAUCCUCUGUGAGACCUUUCACAAUGUUGGACUUUUUUUUUUUGAUCGAACAAACAAUUUAUCUUCAUACUCUGAUACAAAAUAAAACAAUUCCAUCUGCACAGUUUAUAUUCAAAUGGCUUCUUGUUUUUCAGGGCAUUCAUACAAUAUGACACUAAUAGUAUCGAUGUGUCUGUCACGGAUGGAUGGAUGGAUGGAUGGAUGGACCUCGUCAUUAAAAAUAGCAUAAUAGUAGUAGUAAAAUAAUAAUAGCAGUCCAAAGGUGCAAUGAUGAAUCGACAACCAAUCCAUCAUCAAAUUAAUCAAUAAAUAUUUUGGAUCAUGGAUUAACUGCUAAAAGAUCUUUCAUUCAAUUAAAACUGUCCAAAUCCUUGACAUUUUAGUCUCUCAACAGUAUAUCUUCUCAGAUUUCUGGAAUCCUCUGUGAAAGCAGACUGUUGAUCUGAUCUUCUUUUGGUUUCUUUUUUUUUUUUUGCAAACAGUAGUACUGGUAGAACUAAUUGUAGAAGUAGUAGUCGUAGUUGUGUGGUGAUAAUUGUUUGUGAUUGUUUUAGUAAUUGCGGUCAAAGUGUAGUGUGUUAGUAGUAGAAAGUAGGAAUUGUAAUAGAGUAGUAUUUGUAGUAUUUCAAAAAAUGAAUGGAUGGAUGGUAGUAGGUUUAGGACUCCACAUUUAGAUUUGUCUGUCAGAGAGUUUCCUUCUCUCUGUGCUGCUGUUUUGGUUGGCAACGGCAGUUCAUCAGGGCCACGACAGCACAGCACGUAGUCGGUACUCACCCGGCCCCUGUAGAGCUCGUCCAGGCCGCAGUCGAUCCACUUCUCCACGUCCAGCCUCCUCUGGAGCUCUUUGCGAUUGUACUUGACAGUAACUCGAGCCUGGCGCCUCUGCAGGCUGUGGCCGCCCGGCUCGCGCCCGCCGCCUCCCCCGCGGGCCCGGUUGGGCGACUGGUGGUUGCACACCUUGUUGACCCGCCGCCCCACCCGGUUCGCCGCCAUCAGACGCAAAAACGUAAAGAAUGGCUUAAGUAUUGGUUAUGUAAAAUUAAUAGAUAAAUAAAAAUAACAACAGAAACUACCACAGUGGGUCUAAAUUUUAGGUCAGGUGGGAACAAAACUGAGUAUGACAGUGUAAAAAAAUACUGAAAAAUUAAUGUAUGAAAUUACGAGAUGCGAUGAUGUGUCCGGCGCAUGCACACACACACAGGACUUGGGAGGCAAA